rnacentral:rRNA from 1 species
CCUACGGGGGGCAGCAGUGAGGAAUAUUGGUCAAUGGGCGCGAGCCUGAACCAGCCAAGUAGCGUGAAGGAUGACGGCCCUACGGGUUGUAAACUUCUUUUAUAAAGGAGUAAAGUGAGGCACGCGUGCCGUUUUGUAUGUACUUUAUGAAUAAGGAUCGGCUAACUCCGUGCCAGCAGCCGCGGUAAUACGGAGGAUCCGAGCGUUAUCCGGAUUUAUUGGGUUUAAAGGGAGCGUAGAUGGGUUGUUAAGUCAGUUGUGAAAGUUUGCGGCUCAACCGUCAAAGUGCAAUUGAUACUGGCAGUCUUGAGUACAGUUGAGGUAGGUGGAAUUCGUGGUGUAGCGGUGAAAUGCUUAGAUAUCACGAAGAACUCCGAUUGCGAAGGCAGCUUAC